UGCAGGCUAGCCCAGUGGUGUUGGUUGCUGGUGUGAACCAGGGGUCUGGGGAUCGAUUCCCAGACCAGCCC
rnacentral:tRNA from 1 species